GGAAGAAAACCGUUUGCUCCGUUUGUCCCUAGCCGAGCUUGCAGUACAGAAUCGACAGGAUGCGUGGCCGGCAAGGCGAAAAAGCCGCGUCCGAGACCCAUCAACUAGCCCAAAUUAAUUUACAUAUCUCAUAAAAGCAAGUGCACUGCAGUUGGAGCUUUGGAAAUAGGCCCGUGUUUAAAACAGACUCGAGUGGUCGACACAUGAAGUGGGCUCAUUCAUGUGGAAAAGUAAUCAGCAACGUUCUCACACCUACACUGUCCUUAUUGGUAUGUAGUGUGACUAAAUUCUGCUUCUGCAUUAGUUGUGUUGAUAGCAUGCUUGUUCCAAAUUCUUAUUUGUUCCUUUUGCUAAUUUUCAUUUUGUUCACAGAACUUUCCAAAAGGGGAACGUAUCCAAUAAAAUAAAGCACUAAUUUACUUUCAUGCUGAAGAUUCAUAACUCUUACAAAUUGAUGUGGUUUCUACCUGGUGAUCUUCACUGCACUAAAGAGUUAUGAGCUAGGUACUAGGGUAUCCCAGCAACAUCAUGAGCAAGCAACACCAUCUUCUCUCAUCUCUUAGAGAAAAAAAAAAUUCCUUAUAACUUUACUUCACUCUGCAAAACGCUUAAAGCAUAAAAAUAUCACUCGUUUUUUUUUUAUUUUUACAUAUUAUAUUACACAAGCGCAUAUUAAACAAUGAACAGUACUCCUCAUUGUCUUCUCCCAUCCAGUCAUCCCUGGCCCAAGACUAUGCAAUUGCCAGGUCAGCAAGCCAAAUUAAAGAAAGUGUACCACACAUGAAAUAGGACGCUGAAAAACUUAGAUAAAUUGUGUUGUAGUUUAACGUAACCCCCCUCCUCCUCCUACAUGACAAAAACUUGUUUGCAUGUCAAGGUAGCAUCAGAAAAUACUAAAUUUCUUUUCUGAUUGAAAUUAAAGCUGGAAAGUAUUCUAUCAAGUGCAGAGGGCACAAGAGCAUUAGCAAAUAGCGUAGCUUUCAAGAUUUUUCACACAGUGCCUAUAGGUUGCCUUGAUGCUGCCUCCAAUCUCCCUUGUACUGAAGCAUGCACACACAUUAUACCUCCAUUGAUACCGAAGUCCCACUCAAAAGUCUCUGGCCACCGCAAAUCAUCCUGCAUGUACCGCUGACAAGGUGUACAUCUUUGGAGAAUUUAUUUCUGAUUCAAACAUCUGAUGGGCCAGAAAACUAUAAAUUUCGAUAUGUCACCAAUAACCAAAACACGAAUUAAUAUUCCUGCUUGCAGGGACACAAACUGAUUGCUGUUACUGAACAGCGCUCCGUGGCAUUCAAGUGAAGAAUGAUCCUGAUCGUCACUUAUAUGAAUAAUCAUUCGGUUGUAUGGCUGGGAUUCCUAGGUCAUGUGAAUUGCAGUGGAGCUGCUUAGUGUAGUGACUGACUUGGGGCUGCUCAAUAUUUUUUUUUUUUUGAUGCCACUCUAAUGUCCGCCAAAUAAAAGAAAAUGUUUCUUUCUACA